CCUACGGGAGGCAGCAGUGGGGAAUAUUGCACAAUGGGGGAAACCCUGAUGCAGCGACGCCGCGUGAGUGAAGAAGUAUUUCGGUAUGUAAAGCUCUAUCAGCAGGGAAGAAAAUAAAGGUUACCUAACUAAAAAGCCCCGCCUAACUCCGUGCCAGCAGCCGGGGUAAUACGUAGGGGGCAAGCGUUAUCCGGAUUUACUGGGUGUAAAGGGAGCGUGGACGGCAGUGCAAGUCUGAAGUGAAAGCCGAGGGCUCAACCCCGGGACUGCUUUGGAAACUGUGGGGCUAGAGUGCUGGAGAGGUAAGUGGAAUUCCUAGUGUAGCGGUGAAAUGCGUAGAUAUUAGGAGGAACACCAGUGGCGAAGGCGGCUUACUGGACAGUAACUGACGUUGAGGCUCGAAAGCGUGGGGAGCAAACAGGAUUAGAUACCCCAGUAGUC
rnacentral:rRNA from 1 species